AGAAAGUUGGCUGAAUGGUUAAAGCGGCUAGUUAGAAACUAGUUAUAUAUAUUUAUACUAUGUGUUCAAAUCACAUACUUUCUG
rnacentral:tRNA from 2 species